rnacentral:rRNA from 1 species
GACGUAGGGAGCGAGCGUUGUCCGGAAUUACUGGGCGUAAAGAGCUCGUAGGCGGGACCGUAAGUCCGAGAGGAAAUCUCAAGGCUCAACUUUGGGGCUUUCUUGGAUACUGCGGUUCUUGAGGAUGAGAGAGGUAAGUAGAAUUCCCGGUGUAGCGGUGAAAUGCGUAGAUAUCGGGAGGAAUACCAGUGGCGAAGGCGGCUUACUGGCUCAUUCCUGACGCUGAGGAGCGAAAGCGUGGGGAGCAAGCGGG